ACUCACUAUCAGACGAAUUUGCGAAUAUAAGGACAUUCAAUGAGUUGAAGGCACCUUUUCCUCUUCGCGACAUACAUAAACGAACAAUGAUGGAGGGGAAACUUAUGUUAGCGGCGUCUUUGGCGUUGUUAGCUUUAGGAUGCGGCGUUGAAGCUCAGCAGUACCACAAUUACAGUCCACGAGGUUACUAUGGACGUAGCUCACGUAGUGUGCAAAUAGAGUGUGUUGGUA